ACUCGGGAAUUGCAUCUGAAACUGCUUAGCUUGAGUCCUGGAGGGGGUAGUGGAAUUCCCAGUGUAGCGGUGAAAUGCGUAGAUAUUGGGAGGAACACCGGCGGCGAAGGCGGCUACCUGGACAGUGACUGACGCUGAUGCGCGAAAGCUAGGGGAGCGAACGGGAUUAGAUACCCCGGUAGUCCUAGCCGUAAACGAUGGGCACUUGGUGUCGGGGGUAUUGAGUCCCCCGGUGCCGGAGUUAACGCGUUAAGUGCCCCGCCUGGGGAGUACGGUCGCAAGACUGAAACUCAAAGGAAUUGACGGGGGCCCGCACAAGCGGUGGAGCAUGUGGUUCAAUUCGACGCAACGCGAAGAACCUUACCGAGGCUCGAACGGUAACUGCAAUCCCUGGAAACAGGGAGUUCUCUUCGGAGACGGUUACCGAGGUGCUG
rnacentral:rRNA from 1 species